GGGCGUCAGUUUUCUUAUUUUCUUUUUUGGCGACGGGCGUGCUGGAGAGUGGGGGACGAGGAGCUGGAGAGCGAGAGACGAGGAGGAUGGCGUGGCAAGCGGUGGGGUGUUGGCGAGCGGCGAAGCGGCGGAAGGCGUCGGCGCGGGGAAGCGGCAGCGGGUGGAUGACGGGAAGAGAGGUGCGUGAAAAGGUGGGAGUGCGUCGGCGGCGGUCGCGGAACACGGGGUUGCGGCGAUAGCGGUAGUGGAGGAGGGGUACCAGGCGCUCGAUCUGCGCGACGGCCCUUCUUAGGUGGUAGAUGCCGGAACGCCGCGAGCGGCCCCUGUGGCGGCGGCGGCGGAGAUAGGAAAGGCCUACGGAGACAGAGGAGAGAUGUCGCCGGAGGAGUAGAGAAGUGCCGACGAGGUCUCCAGCGGGGGAGCUCGUAGCGCAGGAGAAGAGGUGGUGGUGGAGCGGCGGCGGAGGAGGGAAGCCAAGAGAGGAGCUUCGAGGUAGUUCACCAGUGACGGCGGACGACGGAGAAGAGAGGACGUCCUGCUGCGGAGGGGUAGGUGGUAGACGGCGGCGACUUGACCCACCGUCAACGCCGGUACCCCCUCAUCCCCACCGUACCAGAAGUACCAGCAAUACAUGUUCUUCUGCUCCUGCUGUCACCCCCCUUGCUCGUCGCUCCGGCCUCGAAGUGAUACCUAAACUCCUACGUUGAGCGACCGGUGGUAGUGGCAGGCGUUAGACCCGACGGGUAAACGCAGAGCGGUAGAAGGAAGGGUUAUGAAUUGAAUCAAGAAACUGUCAGAUUAAAGUUAAAACAGUUAAAUACCGAAAAGAUCCGUUACUACACUCUGUCUUUUCUUCUCCUUCUGCAACCACUUCCUCUCCCGUCGUGUUUACAUGUGGCGACACCGGUCCAAUAAGGUAUGCUGUGUCGGUGUCCACUACAUGUACUUACUGCCGUCUACCAACUCCUAACUCCCUUACAUCUACGCUGAUCGCUCGUGAAUGAGACUCCACGAAAGUCUACUACCAAAUUAUUCUGACAAACCUGUUUUAAGACUAAAAAGUUGUGAACAAGGUACACGCUUAUAAGACCCUCGUGGUUGAGGUUGACGACUGUUCCACUUCGAAUACUAGUCAUGUUGAAACAAACUGUAAACCGACCCGAUUUUUUUUAUAGUUACCCUCGAAACCUGCCGGGCUAACGUAAUCACGGACACCAACACUUGCAGGCGGCAGACGGCGUCGAAACAGUUAGCAGGAAGAGUCCACAGUCGCUAGAAUCGGCACUCCUCGCUCGCUGUGUGGCAAGGGCAGCUGCGGCAGCAGGCAGCCGUAGGCCAUAACGACAUACGAUAUGUACAUGACUAACACUAACCGCAGGGUAGGCUGUGGUCUUGCUCUUGGGGAAGUUAAAUUACACAAUCAGUAUCUAUACCUAUAACAACUGGUAUUUUUUCUUGGAUAGUUGUUCUCGGGCUUCCAGUACAGCAACCUUCUCUGAUUUUGGAGUCGUUCAAGAUAUGUCGGAUGUCUACGCGUCUAUCUUUAUCGGUUAAAUGCAGUAUGGUUUGGUUCUUCUCGUUUAUGUUUAUAAUGUGGUGUUCAUAAUUUAGUUGGUACAGGAAUGGACUUUUUUGAUACAACCACGUGUAGUUACUACGUAAUAAUAGUUUACGUCUCUACUCCACGGAAUCCGUACUACUACACAAAAACGUACUACUACAUUAUUUACGUAUAUAUAUGACAUAUUCACGGGUCCUCGUAGACGUUCUAUCUCACCCACCUUACCAUGUAUAACGUUCGUGCAAACACAGAAGGGACGAUUUCUUGCUACUCCAUCUGGCCCGUUGUGUAGCGGUGUAACAUUUUGCUCACUUACGAAAAAACCUCGUACUGUACCAUAAGGAAGGUCAAUUGUAGUCUUUUACGGUGACCAUAGAUAGUCAUUAGUUACGCUUCUUUGCUCUCUAUGUCCAUGACCUGAGCGAACCUCAACCUUACUCGGCUUCACUGGAGUGAUUCUACAAUGUUCCUGAACUGGUCGUAGAUUUUUAGCGUACGUUAUACGGUCUCAAAUUCUCUCCACUAUCCACCGUCCUGGAGCUAUAAUGCUUAACCUUUCAGCAUCUUGUCGAGGUUCUCGGUUAGGUUUGUCUGCCCUCCUGUACUUUCUUAAAGCUGCUUUCUAUUAAACUAAUUCGCGUUGACCUGUACUAGAUGAUCCACAUCAAAGACACUAGCCCUACUUUGAUAGUUCGUAGAAAAGAAACUAACGGGCUACCGCUCCCACAACACCGCGAGCCACGUUUAACGGAAAUUGUAAUGAGGAAGUUUAAACCAGUCCAAAAUAAGGCCCGAUGACGCGAUUAGGCAUGCACCAGUAAUGAGUGAGGCUGCCUCCGGUCCCGCGCAAACCAAUGACCUAGACAGGCCACCCUCUACCAUCGCGCCCUAUAGAAGUUGACCAAACCUACUGCCAGUACAUUAUCCUAUCCGCGAAUCAAAUGGAUAGAGAGAAAUAAUACGGUCGGCCAACACCGAAAACUCGGAACAAAAUGAAACGAUCGAGAAACACUCGAUCGUAGGAAAUAACGUCGUGAAACGUUCUGUAACAACUUGAUAAAAUAAAUAAAUAUUUACACCGGCAUACGUAGCAAGACUACGUCUCCGUCCCCUUAGGGGGGAAAAGCCUUUUUUU
rnacentral:rRNA from 1 species